UACGAAGGGGGCUAGCGUUGUUCGGAAUCACUGGGCGUAAAGGGCGCGUAGGCGGCUUUAUAAGUCGGGGGUGAAAUCCCGGGGCUCAACCUCGGAACUGCCUUUGAUACUGCAAAUCUCGAGUCCGAUAGAGGUGGGUGGAAUUCCUAGUGUAGAGGUGAAAUUCGUAGAUAUUAGGAAGAACACCGGUGGCGAAGGCGGCCCACUGGAUCGGUACUGACGCUGAGGUGCGAAAGCGUGGGGAGCAAACAGG
rnacentral:rRNA from 1 species